rnacentral:rRNA from 1 species
UACGUAGGGUGCGAGCGUUAAUCGGAAUUAUUGGGCGUAAAGCGUGCGCAGGCGGUUAUGUAAGAUAGAUGUGAAAUCCUUGGGCUCAACCUGAGAACUGCAUUUAUGACUGCAUAACUAGAGUGUGUCAGAGGGGGGUAGAAUUCCAUGUGUAGCAGUGAAAUGCGUAGAGAUGUGGAGGAAUACCGAUGGCGAAGGCAGCCCCCUGGGAUAACACUGACGCUCAUGCACGAAAGCGUGGGGAGCAAACAGG